rnacentral:rRNA from 1 species
CUACGUGCCAGCAGCCGCGGUAAUACGUAGGUGGCAAGCGUUGUCCGGAAUUAUUGGGCGUAAAGCGCGCGCAGGCGGAUCAGUCAGUCUGUCUUAAAAGUUCGGGGCUUAACCCCGUGAUGGGAUGGAAACUGCUGAUCUAGAGUAUCGGAGAGGAAAGUGGAAUUCCUAGUGUAGCGGUGAAAUGCGUAGAUAUUAGGAAGAACACCAGUGGCGAAGGCGACUUUCUGGACGAAAACUGACGCUGAGGCGCGAAAGCCAGGGGAGCGAACGGGAUUAGAUACCCCGGUAGUCCUGGCCGUAAACGAUGGGUACUAGGUGUAGGAGGUAUCGACCCCUUCUGUGCCGGAGUUAACGCAAUAAGUACCCCGCCUGGGGAGUACGACCGCAAGGUUGAAACUCAAAGGAAUUGACGGGGGCCCGCACAAGCGGUGGAGUAUGCGGUUUAAUUCGACGCAACGCGAAGAACCUUACCAGGUCUUGACAU